GGCCAGCAGCCGCGGUAAUACGUAGGUGGCGAGCGUUGUCCGGAAUUACUGGGCGUAAAGGGUGCGUAGGCGGAUACUUAAGUCAGAUGUGAAAUUCCGGGGCUUAACUUCGGAACUGCAUUUGAAACUGGGUGUCUAGAGUGCAGGAGAGGAAAGCGGAAUUCCUAGUGUAGCGGUGAAAUGCGUAGAUAUUAGGAAGAACACCAGUGGCGAAGGCGGCUUUCUGGACUGUAACUGACGCUGAGGCACGAAAGCGUGGGGAGCAAACAGGAUUAGAUACCCUGGUAGUCCACGCUGUAAACGAUGAGUGCUAGGUGUAGGGGGUUUCGAUGCCCUCUGUGCCGCAGUAAACGCAAUAAGCACUCCGCCUGGGGAGUACGGUCGCAAGACUAAAACUUAAAGGAAUUGGCGGGGGAU
rnacentral:rRNA from 1 species